GACGAACGCUGGCGGCAUGCCUAAUACAUGCAAGUCGAGCGAACAGAUGAAGUGCUUGCACUUCUGACGUUAGCGGCGAACGGGUGAGUAACACGUAAGGAAUCUACCUAUAAGCGGGGGAUAACAUUCGGAAACAGGUGCUAAUACCGCAUAAUAUCUUCUUCCGCAUGGAAGAAGAUUGAAAGACGGCUCUGCUGUCACUUAUAGAUGACCUUGCGGUGCAUUAGUUAGUUGGUGGGGUAACGGCCUACCAAGACGAUGAUGCAUAGCCGACCUGAGAGGGUGAUCGGCCACAUUGGGACUGAGACACGGCCCAAACUCCUACGGGAGGCAGCAGUAGGGAAUCUUCCGCAAUGGGCGAGAGCCUGACGGAGCAAUGCCGCGUGAGUGAAGAAGGCCUUCGGGUCGUAAAACUCUGUUAUAAGAGAAGAACAAAUUGUAGAGUAACUGCUACAGUCUUGACGGUAUCUUAUCAGAAAGCCACGGCUAACUACAUGCCAGCCGCCGCAGUAA
rnacentral:rRNA from 1 species